rnacentral:rRNA from 1 species
UACAGAGGGGGCAAGCGUUGUUCGGAAUUACUGGGCGUAAAGGGCGCGUAGGCGGCCCGCUAAGUCGAACGUGAAAUCCCCGGGCUCAACCCGGGAACUGCGUCCGAUACUGGCAGGCUUGAAUCCGGGAGAGGGAUGCGGAAUUCCAGGUGUAGCGGUGAAAUGCGUAGAUAUCUGGAGGAACACCGGUGGCGAAGGCGGCAUCCUGGACCGGUAUUGACGCUGAGGCGCGAAAGCUAGGGAGCAAACGGG